AGUAUAUCUGCUCUGCUUCCACGAGAUUGGUGUGUUUGUGGAUGCUUACGGUCAAAAAAGUCGCCCUGAUGAUCUCAAGUGGAGUCGACUUCCCCUGACAUUUGCAUUCAGAGAACCCUAUCUGUUUGUGACCUACUUCAACUCGCUGGAUGUUAUUGAGAUUCAGGGACAUGCAGCUCUUGGG